rnacentral:rRNA from 1 species
AACUUCAGCUACAUAUGCGCGGAAAAGUGCCGCUUCUCAUCCGAUCAGUGGAGCGAAACCUGCGACAGCCCAGUCAGUACUAGCGUGUGGAUCAGCUGGGAAUGCUGGGUGCUGUAGUUU